AGCCCUGAGGUGUUUUACAUAUAAGAUUGCAAAUCUUGAGAAGGGGGUUAGUCACCCCCCGGGGCUU
rnacentral:tRNA from 1 species